AUAUAAAACUGAACAGCAUAUAUACUAAAUCAGAACAAUACAGAGAUGGUUAGUGUGGUCUCUGUGCAAGAAUGACACUCAAAUUUGUGAAUCAUCCAUUACUAUU
rfam:Mesocricetus auratus contig004422, whole genome shotgun sequence.